rnacentral:rRNA from 1 species
CCUACGGGUGGCAGCAGUAGGGAAUCUUUCUCAAUGGGGGAAACCCUGAAGCAGCAACGCCGCGUGGAGGAUGAAGGUCUUCGGAUUGUAAACUCCUUUUGUCAGAGAAGAUAAUGACGGUAACUAAUGAAUAAAGACCGGCUAACUCCGUGCCAGCAGCCGCGGUCAUACGGAGGGUGCAAGCGUUACCCGGAAUCACUGGGCGUAAGGAGCGCGGAGGGGGGAUAGCAAGUCAGAUGUGAAAUCCUUGGGCUUAACCAUAGAACUGCCUUUGAAACUGUUAUUCUAGAGUAUGGGAGAGGUAAGUGGAAUUCUUGGUGUAGGAGUAAAAUCCGUAGAGAUCAAGAGGAAUACUCAUUGCGAAGGC